rnacentral:rRNA from 1 species
UAAGUUAUUAAGGGCGCACGGUGGAUGCCUUGGCACUAGAAGCCGAUGAAGGACGUUACUAACGACGAUAUGCUUUGGGGAGCUGUAAGUAAGCUUUGAUCCAGAGAUUUCCGAAUGGGGAAACCCAGCAUGAGUUAUGUCAUGUUAUCGAUAUGUGAAUACAUAGCAUAUCAGAAGGCACACCCGGAGAACUGAAACAUCUUAGUACCCGGAGGAAGAGAAAGAAAAUUCGAUUCCCUUAGUAGCGGCGAGCGAAACGGGAAGAGCCCAAACCAACAAGCUUGCUUGUUGGGGUUGUAGGACACUCUAUACGGAGUUACAAAGGACGACAUUAGACGAAUCAUCUGGAAAGAUGAAUCAAAGAAGGUAAUAAUCCUGUAGUCGAAAAUGUUGUCUCUCUUGAGUGGAUCCUGAGUACGACGGAGCACGUGAAAUUCCGUCGGAAUCUGGGAGGACCAUCUCCUAAGGCUAAAUACUCUCUAGUGACCGAUAGUGAACCAGUACCGUGAGGGAAAGGUGAAAAGCACCCCGGAAGGGGAGUGAAAUAGAACCUGAAACCGUGUGCUUACAAGUAGUCAGAGCCCGUUAAUGGGUGAUGGCGUGCCUUUUGUAGAAUGAACCGGCGAGUUACGAUUUGAUGCAAGGUUAAGCAGUAAAUGUGGAGCCGUAGCGAAAGCGAGUCUGAAUAGGGCGUUUAGUAUUUGGUCGUAGACCCGAAACCAGGUGAUCUACCCUUGGUCAGGUUGAAGUUCAGGUAACACUGAAUGGAGGACCGAACCGACUUACGUUGAAAAGUGAGCGGAUGAACUGAGGGUAGCGGAGAAAUUCCAAUCGAACCUGGAGAUAGCUGGUUCUCUCCGAAAUAGCUUUAGGGCUAGCCUCAAGUGAUGAUUAUUGGAGGUAGAGCACUGUUUGGACGAGGGGCCCUCUCGGGUUACCGAAUUCAGACAAACUCCGAAUGCCAAUUAAUUUAACUUGGGAGUCAGAACAUGGGUGAUAAGGUCCGUGUUCGAAAGGGAAACAGCCCAGACCACCAGCUAAGGUCCCAAAAUAUAUGUUAAGUGGAAAAGGAUGUGGCGUUGCCCAGACAACUAGGAUGUUGGCUUAGAAGCAGCCAUCAUUUAAAGAGUGCGUAAUAGCUCACUAGUCGAGUGACACUGCGCCGAAAAUGUACCGGGGCUAAACAUAUUACCGAAGCUGUGGAUUGUCCUUUGGACAAUGGUAGGAGAGCGUUCUAAGGGCGUUGAAGCAUGAUCGUAAGGACAUGUGGAGCGCUUAGAAGUGAGAAUGCCGGUGUGAGUAGCGAAAGACGGGUGAGAAUCCCGUCCACCGAUUGACUAAGGUUUCCAGAGGAAGGCUCGUCCGCUCUGGGUUAGUCGGGUCCUAAGCUGAGGCCGACAGGCGUAGGCGAUGGAUAACAGGUUGAUAUUCCUGUACCACCUAUAAUCGUUUUAAUCGAUGGGGGACGCAGUAGAAUAGGCGAAGCGUGCGAUUGGAUUGCACGUCUAAGCAGUAAGGCUGAGUAUUAGGCAAAUCCGGUACUCGUUAAGGCUGAGCUGUGAUGGGGAGAAGACAUUGUGUCUUCGAGUCGUUGAUUUCACACUGCCGAGAAAAGCCUCUAGAUAGAAAAUAGGUGCCCGUACCGCAAACCGACACAGGUAGUCAAGAUGAGAAUUCUAAGGUGAGCGAGCGAACUCUCGUUAAGGAACUCGGCAAAAUGACCCCGUAACUUCGGGAGAAGGGGUGCUCUUUAGGGUUAACGCCCAGAAGAGCCGCAGUGAAUAGGCCCAAGCGACUGUUUAUCAAAACACAGGUCUCUGCUAAACCGUAAGGUGAUGUAUAGGGGCUGACGCCUGCCCGGUGCUGGAAGGUUAAGAGGAGUGGUUAGCUUCUGCGAAGCUACGAAUCGAAGCCCCAGUAAACGGCGGCCGUAACUAUAACGGUCCUAAGGUAGCGAAAUUCCUUGUCGGGUAAGUUCCGACCCGCACGAAAGGCGUAACGAUUUGGGCACUGUCUCAACGAGAGACUCGGUGAAAUCAUAGUACCUGUGAAGAUGCAGGUUACCCGCGACAGGACGGAAAGACCCCGUGGAGCUUUACUGUAGCCUGAUAUUGAAAUUCGGCACAGCUUGUACAGGAUAGGUAGGAGCCUUUGAAACGUGAGCGCUAGCUUACGUGGAGGCGCUGGUGGGAUACUACCCUAGCUGUGUUGGCUUUCUAACCCGCACCACUUAUCGUGGUGGGAGACAGUGUCAGGCGGGCAGUUUGACUGGGGCGGUCGCCUCCUAAAAGGUAACGGAGGCGCUCAAAGGUUCCCUCAGAAUGGUUGGAAAUCAUUCAUAGAGUGUAAAGGCAUAAGGGAGCUUGACUGCGAGACCUACAAGUCGAGCAGGGUCGAAAGACGGACUUAGUGAUCCGGUGGUUCCGCAUGGAAGGGCCAUCGCUCAACGGAUAAAAGCUACCCCGGGGAUAACAGGCUUAUCUCCCCCAAGAGUUCACAUCGACGGGGAGGUUUGGCACCUCGAUGUCGGCUCAUCGCAUCCUGGGGCUGUAGUCGGUCCCAAGGGUUGGGCUGUUCGCCCAUUAAAGCGGUACGCGAGCUGGGUUCAGAACGUCGUGAGACAGUUCGGUCCCUAUCCGUCGUGGGCGUAGGAAAUUUGAGAGGAGCUGUCCUUAGUACGAGAGGACCGGGAUGGACAUACCUCUGGUGUACCAGUUGUCGUGCCAACGGCAUAGCUGGGUAGCUAUGUGUGGACGGGAUAAGUGCUGAAAGCAUCUAAGCAUGAAGCCCCCUCAAGAUGAGAUUUCCCAACUUCGGUUAUAAGAUCCCUCAAAGAUGAUGAGGUUAAUAGGUUCGAGGUGGAAGCAUGGUGACAUGUGGAGCUGACGAAUACUAAUCGAUCGAAGACUUAAUCA